AAAAUGUACCUUGGGUUUCAUUUUGUGGUGACAAAGCCCGAUUGCUUCUUUUGUGUGACCUUUUAAAUUCACAUUGUUUGGAAGAAAACGAUCACUUUUGUGCAAGAAUGUGAUUUUGUUUGGUCGGUUGAUUUGCUCUCCUUUUGUUUGCUUGUUUACGAAGGUCUUCUGCCUGGUUCCCGUUUCUUUUAGGUGGCUUCCAUAAAAGUUUGUGUCUGGAGUUUCCGCUAUUUGUCGCCGAGUUGUGUGUGUGUUGUGUUUGAGAGCAUUCCCGUCUGUGUCGCUUUUCAAGCAGUCCCCAGCACCCUAUAGUUUGUCCAGGCUUUUGGGAUUGGUGAGAAUUUCCCUGGCCAACCUCCAGGUCUGCUUGGCAGCGCUCUCCAGGGCCGAAUGGGGCUUGCCCUGAAAAAGGUCGAGGUUGGGCAGAAAGUAGUGAGGGCAGCGGCGGCACUGCAGGCAGGAGAUGAGCUGCAGCAGGAUGCCGUUGAGCCGAUCGCCGAGGCACGCCUCGUCCCAGUCCGUUUCCCGCGGGUGCUUCUCGCACUCGUACAGCAGCAGCGUCUUCAUGUGGUAGUUGUUGAGCGGCUGGCCGGGCAGCUCCAGGUGGCGAUCCCGCAGCGUCUUCAGCACGGAGAGGCACUUGUUUCGGCAGCCGCCCAUUAGCAGGCGGUUCUCAGCCUCCCCGAACUGUAGCACCCAGGCAUCGCUCUCCGCGGAGCUCUGCUUGCCGGUCAGCGAGUAGCAUUCCUUAGAGAGCAAGUUGAACCCUUCGGCCUUGACCUCCGCCACCCGAUUGGGGCCGGGCCAGGGGAUGUGGGGCAUAGGCCACUGUGCCGCACUGCGAGGCCAGAUACCGGUGCACUUGAACGCGGGAGUGAUUUGCACCACAUAGCGCUCCCUGAUGCGCAGCUUGACCUCGCUGGUAUCUGCGAUCAUCUUGACCACAUCCCGAUAGCUGCACUUGUCCACCGCCUGAGCCACCAGCGUCUGGAAACGCGAGCGGAUCUUGCGCGCCGAGAGGUAGCCGGACGCUGUGAUGAACUCGACCCAGAGAGACAUGCUCCGCUUCCGCCCAUCGCUCAGUUUGAGCACCGCGCAGCCGGGCAGCGAGCCGUCGUCCACGAAGUUGAAGACGCCCAUCUGGUUUAGGUAGAGCACCACCUCGAAUUCUGUGGGCGAGAUGACCUCCAGCCCCUCAUAGCGGGCAUCGAUCUCGCUCAGGGAGCUGAUGAAGCGAGGCUCCUGCACCUCCACUUCCUUUAGCACGUCCGAGACCACCUUACAGACCUCUCGGAUGGUCUUGGCGAUGGCCGCCUUGCGCGCUUGGCAGCGCUCAGUGUAGUAUUUAUUGAGCUGGUAGACCAGCUUGGCCUGAGCGGCGAUCAUGUUGGGGCACAGGUCCGGGCUGUACACCGGCGUCUCGCAAUACGUUGAGGGAUCCAAGGCUCACGCGCUGGUGGUGGCCCUGCGGCUUGCGAAAGAGGCGCUGCGUUCCCCUAAGCCCCACUUUCACUCUUGUUUUCCACCUGGGCUGACCGGCUGACGUUUCAGCCGUCCAGCUCUUUCUCUCCCCUCUUUUGAAAGCUUUUUUUCUUCUCCAGAAAAAAA